rnacentral:rRNA from 1 species
GGAGUCUGGGCCGUGUCUCAGUCCCAAUGUGGCCGCUCGUCCUCUCAGACCGGCUACCGAUCGUCGCCCUGGUGGUCCGUUGCACCGCCAGCUAGCUAAUCGGACGCGGGCCCAUCCAUGGGCGGCGGAUUGCUCCGCCUUUCAACCGGGGGGCAUGCGCCCCCAGGUCGCCACGGGGUAUUAGCGCCGCUUUCGCGGCGUUGUCCCCCUCCCAUGGGCAGGUUGCCCACGCGUUACUCACCCGUUUGCCGCUCGGCUCGUAAAGCAAGCUCCACUCGCCUCGCUCGACUUGCAUGUGUUAAGCACGCCGCCAGCGUUCGUCCUGAGCCACUGAUCAAACUCU